CCCUUAGAUGUUCUGGGCCGCACGCGCGCUACACUGAUGCAUUCAACGAGCCUAUCCUUGACCGAGAGGUCCGGGUAAUCUUUGAAACUGCAUCGUGAUGGGGCUAGAUUAUUGCAAUUAUUAAUCUUCAACGAGGAAUGCCUAGUAAGCGUGAUUCAUCAAAUCGCGUUGAUUACGUCCCUGCCCUUUGUACACACCGCCCGUCGCUCCUACCGAUUGAGUGUGUUGGUGAGGAGUUUGGAUUGGCCUCGGAAGGUGGUUCGCCACCGUCCGUAGCUGAGAAGUUCUCCAAACCGCCCCACUUAGAGGAAGGAGAANUCGUAACA
rnacentral:rRNA from 1 species